GGCGAACGCUGGCGGCGUGCUUAACACAUGCAAGUCGAACGGAAAGGCCCUGCUUUUGUGGGGUGCUCGAGUGGCGAACGGGUGAGUAACACGUGAGUAACCUGCCCUUGACUUUGGGAUAACUUCAGGAAACUGGGGCUAAUACCGGAUAGGAGCUCCUGCUGCAUGGUGGGGGUUGGAAAGUUUCGGCGGUUGGGGAUGGACUCGCGGCUUAUCAGCUUGUUGGUGGGGUAGUGGCUUACCAAGGCUUUGACGGGUAGCCGGCCUGAGAGGGUGACCGGCCACAUUGGGACUGAGAGACGGCCCAGACUCCUACGGGAGGCAGCAGUGGGGAAUAUUGCACAAUGGGCGGAAGCCGGAUGCAGCAACGCCGCGUGCGGGAUGACGGCCUUCGGGUUGUAAACCGCUUUCGCCUGUGACGAAGCGGGAGUGACGGUAAUGGGUAAAGAAGCACCGGCUAACUACGUG
rnacentral:rRNA from 1 species